GACGAACGCUGGCGGCGUGCUUAACACAUGCAAGUCGAACGGAAAGGCCCCUUCGGGGGUACUCGAGUGGCGAACGGGUGAGUAACACGUGAGUAACCUGCCCUUGACUUCGGGAUAACUUCAGGAAACUGGGGCUAAUACCGGAUAGGAAUCCUUGCUGCAUGGUGGGGGUUGGAAAGCUUCGGCGGUUUUGGAUGGACUCGCGGCUUAUCAGCUUGUUGGUGGGGUAGUGGCUUACCAAGGCUUUGACGGGUAGCCGGCCUGAGAGGGCGACCGGCCACAUUGGGACUGAGAGACGGCCCAGACUCCUACGGGAGGCAGCAGUGGGGAAGAUUGCACAAUGGGCGGAAGCCGGAUGCAGCAACGCCGCGUGCGGGAUGACGGCCUUCGGGUUGUAAACCGCUUUCAGCAGGGGCGAAGCUUGUGGUGACGGUACCUGCAGAAGAAGCACCGGCUAACUACGUG
rnacentral:rRNA from 1 species